GGAUACUUAUCACUUUCGCUUAGCCACUGAGAUUGCUCCCAACAGCUAGUAUCCAUCGUUUACGGCGUGGACUACCAGGGUAUCUAAUCCUGUUCGCUACCCACGCUUUCGUCCAUCAGCGUCAAUCCAUUAGUAGUAACCUGCCUUCGCAAUUGGUAUUCCAUGUAAUCUCUAAGCAUUUCACCGCUACACUUCAUAUUCUAGUUACUUCCUAAUAAUUCAAGUUUAGCAGUAUCAAUGGCCGUUCCACCGUUGAGCGAUGGGCUUUCACCACUGACUUACUAAACCGCCUACGGACCCUUUAAACCCAAUGAUUCCGGAUAACGCUUGGAUCCUCCGUAUUACCGCGGCUGCUGGCACGGAGUUAGCCGAUCCUUAUUCUUACGAUACCGUCAAGCUCCAACACGUUGGAGUGUUUCUUCUCGUANAAAAGCAGUUUACAAUCCAUAGGACCGUCAUCCUGCACGCGGCAUGGCUGGAUCAGGCUUGCGCCCAUUGUCCAAUAUUCCUCACUGCUGCCUCCCGUAGGAGUCUGGUCCGUGUCUCAGUACCAGUGUGGGGGAUCUCCCUCUCAGGACCCCUACCCAUCGUAGCCUUGGUAAGCCGUUACCUUACCAACUAGCUAAUGGGACGCAUGCUCAUCUUUUACCGUUGUGACUUUAAUAGUGAUCUCAUGCGAGAUUGCUAUGCUAUGAGGUAUUAAUCCAAAUUUCUCUGGGCUAUCCCUCUGUAAAAGGUAGAUUGCAUACGCGUUACGCACCCGUGCGCCGGUCUCUAGUUCCGAAGAACUAUACCCCUCGACUGCAU
rnacentral:rRNA from 1 species